GAUGAACGCUGGCGGCGUGCCUAAUACAUGCAAGUCGAGCGAAUGGAUUAAGAGCUUGCUCUUAUGAAGUUAGCGGCGGGCGGGUGAGUAACACGUGGGUAACCUGCCCAUAAGACUGGGAUAACUCCGGGAAACCGGGGCUAAUACCGGAUAACAUUUUGAACCGCAUGGUUCGAAAUUGAAAGGCGGCUUCGGCUGUCACUUAUGGAUGGACCCGCGUCGCAUUAGCUAGUUGGUGAGGUAACGGCGCACCAAGGGAACGAUGCGUAGCCGACCUGAGAGGGUGAUCGGCCACACUGGGACUGAGACACGGACCAGAAGCCUACGGGAGGCAGCAGUAGGGAAUCUUCCGCAAUGGACGAAAGUCUGACGGAGCAACGCCGCGUGAGUGAUGAAGGCUUUCGGGUCGUAAAACUCUGUUGUUAGGGAAGAACAAGUGCUAGUUGAAUAAGCUGACACCUUGACGGUACCUAACCAGAAAGCCACGGCUAACUACGUGCCAGCCGCCGCAGUAA
rnacentral:rRNA from 1 species